rnacentral:lncRNA from 1 species
GAAUUGAACAAGCACGUCCCAGAAGAAGAAAUACAAAUGGUCAAAAAAUAUAUGAAGAAGUGUUCAACAUCUCUAGCAAUUAGAGAAAUGAAAACUAAAACUACACUGAGAUUUCAUCUCCAGUCAGAAUGGCAAUUAUUAAGAAUACGAGUAACAAUAAAUAUGAGGAUGUGGGGAAAAGAGUACACUCAUACAUUGCUAGUGGGACUGAAAAUUGGUGAAACCACUCUGGAAAGCAGUAUGGAGAUUCCUUAGAAAACUUGUAAUGAAACCACCAUUUGACCCAGUUAUCCCACUUCUCAGUAGAUACCCAAAGGACUUAAAAUUACCAUAGUACUGUGACCUAGCCACCUCAAUGUUUAUAGCAACUCAAUUCACAAUAACAAAGCUGUGGAACCAACCCAGGUGUCCUUCAACAGAUGACUGGAUAAAGAAAAUGUGGUAUAAAUACACAAUGGAAUAUUACUCAGCCAUAAAGAAAAAUGAAUUAUGGCGUUUGCUGGUAAAUGGAUGGAACUGGAGAAUAUCAUGCUAAGUGAAAUAAGCCAGUCUCAAAAAACCAAAGGUUUAAUGUUCCCUCUGAUAUGUGGAUGCUAACUCAUAACAAGUGGGGGGUGGCGAGGGGAGCAAUAGAGGUUCAUUGAUUAGACAAAGGGGAAUGAAGGGAAAGGAGGUGGAAUGAGAAUAGGAAAGACAGUAGAAUGAAUUGGACAUAACUUUCCUAUCCUUAUAUAUGAAUACACAACCAGUGUAACUUCUCAUCAUGUACAACCACAAGAAUGGGAUCCUAACAGGAAUAAGUUAUACUAUAUAUAUAAUGUCAAAAUUCAUUCUACUGGGGCUGGGGAUAUGGCUUAGCAGUAGAAUGCUCGCCUAACAUUGUGGGGCACUAGGUUUGAUCCUCAGCACCACAUAAAAAUAAAAUAAAGGUAUUGUGUCCAACUACAACUAAAACAAAAUAUUAAAUAAGUACAUUCUACUGUCAUGUAUAUCUAAAAGAACAAAUUUAAAACUUCCAGCAUCCAUAUCUUCUUUUUUAAUUAAUUAAUUAAUUUUAAUUAGGUAUGACAGCGGAAUUCAUUUUGAUUCAUUGUACACAAUUGCAGCACAACUUUUCAUUUUUCUGGUUGUACGUGAUGUAGUGUUGCACCAUAUGUGCAGUCAUACAUGUACCUAGGGUGAUGAUGUCCAUCUCAUUCCACCAUCUUUCCUGGUCCCCAUACCCCAUCCCUCCCUCCCCUUUGCCCAAUCAAAGUUCCUCCAUUUUUCCCAUGCCCCCACCACCAUCCAUUAUGGAUCAGAAUAAACUUAUCAGAACAUUUGGCCUUUGGUUUUGGGGAUUGGCUUACUUUGUUUAGCAUGAUAUUCUCCAUAUCUUCUUUCCUUAGGUUUUCUCUUUCCUUAUUCCAGAUUCCUGUGAGGAAAGAAAGUGAUCAGCACAGUCCAGCCUUGAGUUGGUUCCCUUGGGUCAGCUUUCCACUAAUGAGCUCAGCCAGAGGGCAGAACAAACAGGGCUGCAGGGCUUAAAGUAGGGGAAAUGGGAGGAACAGGACCCGUGGCUGAUGUCCACUGCCUGAGGCAGUUCUCAGUAUCCUUUCAAGAUGUUAAAAGGAUUCUGCUUUUUUAAAAAAAAAUCAUAAAUAGCUGAAAAUAUUACAAGCCAUUUGUUCUCAAAACCAUAUGUGGUCAGGUAGCUCAUUUCCCAAGGAGUGAAGAUAAAGAACUCCAAGAGAUCUAAAUGUUUUUAAGCCAGAUAUCCUAGUAGGAGUUAUGAAAUGACUUUCCCAAGUCCUAAAGCC